UUGAAAGGGAAACGAUUGAAGUCAGUCGUACCGACGGAGAAUCAACCUUUGGAGUGCGAGUCGAGGUAUUCGAGGAGUUUAAAAGCCCAUGUGUGCUUCCGUAUCGUGCUUCUUGGGUGCUUUUCUUCGUAUGGUAGGUUAACAUCAAUUUUGGACGUUACAAAAUGACUGGGGGAAUGUAGCUUCGACUUUUCGAAGUGUUAUAGCCCUUUGUAGAUGUGACGACCGGGAUUGAGGAUUGCAACGAAUGCUUUCGGGCUAUCCGUCUGACCUCUGGUGGUUGCUUUGGGGUCGAAAGCGUGCUUACGGCUUUAAAGUUGGCUAUCAAAAGGCUAGAACGUGAUUAAAUUCGUUAAGGAUGUUGACGUA
rnacentral:rRNA from 1 species